CUACCUGCACUGAUCUAAUUAGGCAGAUUUAAUAUGAUCACAUGAAAAAAUGAACAUGAGAAUGAUUUGUAAAGUAGAACAAAAGGUCCUGGUAAUAGAGGGGGAAAAAAGCAAUCUGUACCACCUGUGAGGUUUUUGUAAUGUUGCAUUGCUCUGAACAGGCAUGUGGAUGAAGACUCUACAGCAAGGUAAUGGCAUAGCUUAUGGUUUGAUGGACCUUAACUGAUGAAAAAUGCAAAUUCCUUCCAUUAAACAGGUGCACUGCGAGGAGAGGAUCAAGGGCUGGAAGAAAGACUGAGAGAUGAUUUAAACACCAAGACAAAAAGGAAAGAAAAGAAUACAGGGAGCUGACAGAGAUGUAUACUGCAGGCCAAGGGAGGAAGAAGGAAUCUGCAUUCUUCUGUCUCCUGCAGCCAGUAGAGAGAAGUGGCUGCAAACAGCCCGAUUCCUUAAAAUAUUGAUUUGAUUUCAAACUUAUCUUUGCAACUGUAAGGCUGGAAGCUUUAUGACUAUGAAAGCUGAGACUAACUUCAUCUUCUAAGUAAAGGAUUAGAGCAUGAAAGAUGACACAGAAAAAUCACAAUCUAAUGAUUUCUAAGAAAGAAGCAAUGCUUUUGAUCAACUGCUAUGUAUUGAAUGACUGAUGACUGUAAGUACUGUACAAAUGUGAGAAGCAUAGUGCCCUGUGUGCUUUGCAACUACAAAACUUCUGCUAUUGGUCUUUUGUUUGUGAGAAAUUUUGCAAAAGUUUUUAUCUGAUCUUUUCCCCAUAUUUUUCUAUUAAGGGUUUCUUUUCAAUAAUAUCAGAAAAAAACCACAAAAUUUUAGUUCAAAACUAUAAUUAUACUUGAGUUUGUUGGAGUAUAACCCUUCAUCUUUUAAACAGAGUGAACUGUACAAGAGGUCAGGAAAACAUUUAAACAUAAUUUUAUUCAUUUUAUUUUUAUGAAAGUAUCCAUACUAGUAUCAGAAUUUACUUAGUUUCUGCUGACUGAGUGCAGAUAAUCAUCCUCUGAAGAAUUUUUAAAUUAUGUGCUGUAGAUUUAGGUGGAGGAAGUGUUCCCCUGUUCCCAAGAAGCACUCUGUAGCUGCUGCUGAUUUGAAGUGUGUAGUCAGACCUAAAGAUGCUUACAGUUGUGCUGCCAAGAUGAGGACACUACAAUGGGAUAGAGGGAUGCUGAGGUUUUCUGUUUUCCUUUGUAUAAAAAGAACCCAAAUCAGAAGAGAUCAUGAUGGUGUAAAGGAGCAUUGUCAUUUCUAGAACCCAAGACAAAGCUACAAAGAUAUGCAUUAUUCAAAGUAAAAAGUGAUUAAGGACCAUGUCAAAUCUAAGUUUAUGUAACUAGGAAAUCGUGCUUCUCAGAAGGUAAGAUGGUAAGAAUAACUAUAUGCUUUGCUUUCCUGGUAUCAAGAGAGACCACAAGAAUUCGCUGUAAAAAAAUGAGUUUCUUUUGCUGUCAACAUAAAGAGCCGGCCCAGCUCUUUAUUUCUUCUCAAGGGAUUAACAAAUAACUCUUAAGUCAUACGCAAGUGUUGGACCUAUUAUUCAUAGCUAAUUUUCUAUUAUAUUGUUAAGAAAAACCUCUGGGAGUGAUAGUUUUUGCCAUAGAUCUCUGGUUAUUGCGUUACAUUUCACAAGAGCACUACUGUUGGUUCUUGCUGGGUUUAUUUCUGACUGUGAUCUGUGAAAUCGUGAAUGUGAAAUGAAACGUUAAUCAAAGCAGCCUGGAUGGACAAAUGAUCAGUGCAAUAGUGGCUCUGAAACAAACAGAUGGAUGUGCUCUUCUAGCUUGCAUGAAUGGGGGCUUGUGAGGAGAAAGAUUAUUGAAACCUAAUACAUACCUCAAUACAAAGCUAAAGGUGGGCUCUGUGCUCGUACACAGUUAUACUUUAAACAUCACACUUAAGAUGCAUUCGGAUAUGACCCAUACUUUUCAUUUGUAAAGUGUAUUUUAAUGUUUAAAUCCCACAACAAAUAACUUCUGCCAUAUAUAUUCAGCAAAGAACACUUCAUGUUUCUGUACCGUUUAUGCAUUUUUUUGCACAUGAAAAUGAAGCUUUUCAAAAGAAGGUCCUUUGCUUACUGCACAAGUGAGUUGGUACAAACUGUGAAGGGGCAUGCAUUACAGACCUUCAAAGCUUUUACAGUACACAGGCUUAUCAGUUUUAAUCCUGUAACACCUAGAUUAUUCUUAAAAUACAGUGUUUAUUUUUGGACCCUAUUUACUGCUUUAAAUCUAAUAAAAGCACCUGUUACAUAAACUCUUAUACACUCGUAAUUUUCAUUUUGCAAGCUGGAAUGCUUUAAAAAGAAAACAAAAGGAACAUUGGCUUCAACGGCAUGACUCAAAGCCCGAAAAACACCAGUUUUACACCAAUUUAAUUCUUUUGGUUAAAGGUAGGAUUUUCUCUCUUAUCAUCUUCCUUAGUUCUCCUGCAGUAAGCUCUAUGUGUGCUAAUAGAGAUUUUGUUACCUGAUUAAGUAUCCAAACAAAGUUGCAUUUUAGCUAUUCCAGUGAAGAAAAAAAAGAAAAAAAAAGUGGUUUGUAGGUAUAUCUUAACAUUCUUGUGUUUUCAGCUUUAUGCUUCAACAGUUGGACAAUAAAUGGGAGGCAACAGCAGUUAAUGGGUGCUGGAGUGGGAGAGGAUCAAACAUUUGAGAAAGAAGAGCAUGAUAAAAGGAUAGAACUUUGUUUCUGCUAAGGAAGAAGAGAUUUGUUCACUGUUCUUUAUCACGUUUACAGUGAGAAAUAGAUCUCAGCAUCUGAAGUACUUAAAAUACACCAUAUCAACUGUUUCCAUGAUUUCUGACACACAGCCAGUGACUUCCUGUUGAUUUGGUUGCUCUUUCAUCAAAAACAUCAGGGAAUGUUGUAGAAUAUCUGUAGCAAAUUAAGGAAAUCUGUUUUUAAUUGAAACAGUUACAGUC